rnacentral:lncRNA from 1 species
CGCCAUCUUGGAGGGCCGCGUCCACCGCCGCCGCCGCCGCCGACUCCGCCGCCGCCGGAGAGGGCCCCGACGGACGCGAUGACGUCGGACGACUUCGAUAUCGUCAUCGAGGCGAUGCUGGAGGCGCCCUACAAGAAGGAGGAGGCGCAGCCCGGACCCUCAAAGCCACCGACGGAAACUGCGCCCCCUCAGGUGCCGUUUUGGGGCUAAAAAGGCUCUUUUUGGGGUCCCGGAAGGAUUUGGGGUGGAAAAAGGAAAAGGGGUGGGGGUGGGGGGGGGGGGGGUCUGACCUUUGACCUCUGACCUCUGACCCCGCAGCAGCCGCCCGAGGAGCACAGCAAGGAGCCCAAAAAGGAGAGCGGGGGCAGCAGCAG